rnacentral:rRNA from 1 species
AUUGAACGCUGGCGGCAGGCCUAACACAUGCAAGUCGAGCGGAUGACGGGAGCUUGCUCCUUGAUUCAGCGGCGGACGGGUGAGUAAUGCCUAGGAAUCUGCCUGGUAGUGGGGGACAACGUUUCGAAAGGAACGCUAAUACCGCAUACGUCCUACGGGAGAAAGCAGGGGACCUUCGGGCCUUGCGCUAUCAGAUGAGCCUAGGUCGGAUUAGCUAGUUGGUGGGGCAAUGGCUCACCAAGGCGACGAUCCGUAACUGGUCUGAGAGGAUGAUCAGUCACACUGGAAAUGAGACACGGUCCAGGCUCCUACGGGAGGCAGCAGUGGGGAAUAUUGGACAAUGGGCGAAAGCCUGAUCCAGCCAUGCCGCGUGUGUGAAGAAGGUCUUCGGAUUGUAAAGCACUUUAAGUUGGGAGGAAGGGCAGUAAGCUAAUACCUUGCUGUUUUGACGUUACCGACAGAAUAAGCACCGGCUAACUCUGUGCCAGCCGCCGCAGUAA